GUGCUCAUUUUGGUAGCACAUAUACUAACAUUGGAAUGGUACAGAUAUUAGCAUGGCCUCUGUAGAAGGAUAACACACAGAUUUCUGAAGCAUUUAAUAAUUUU